ensembl:lincRNA 4933433G15Rik RIKEN cDNA 4933433G15 gene
ACCCCGGCCUCAGCUGAACCACCGCCCAGAGUGUCGUACCAAGUGACCCGACAGGGCGAGCGUCUGAACGGCUGCUGGGUCCUGUGCUGUCGGGAGGAAGUGGGCGAAGGCGAAUAUGCUAGGCCAGAUUGUUGAGCAGAUAAGCUCAGGGUGGUGUUGGGAAGGCCCCUGGGAUCGGUCCCCGGGGUCCGUUGGCUGCUUCCAGAAGCAUCCGCGGUAACCAGGGAGGUGAAUGAGUGAGGGGUCCUGGGAAAACUGAGCAAAAGCUCAGUCAGCAGGGUGGCUGGCUUGUUGAGAUCGCUGAGACCAGCCAGAGUUUGACAUAGGCGUGCUGAGAAAGGUAGAUAGCUGCCCUUCCAGUGCUUAGAUGAAAUUUAAGUAUUUAGGAACUUAGAUAUAAAAAGCACAGGGUUUGCCUGGGAGUAGUGGCACAUGAGUUAACUAGUCUAUGUAGUGCCAGGACAGCCUAUGCUAUAUAAUAGACCCUGUCUCAAAAGGCUGGGAGAGCUUGUUGUUGUACCCCUGUGAUCCCUGUCUUGGAGACCAGAAGGAUUAGAAGAUACAGUUAAUCCUUGGCUGCAUAGCUUUGAGGAAGUCCCUGCCUGAAAGCGCGAUAAGGUAUUUGCAAAUUCAUCUUCCUGGAUGAGAAUUUCUUGAAGUCGGUCAUGCGUAUAAACCAAGUGUGGUAGUGAACGCUUGUCAUCCCAGCAUUCUGCAGGCUGAGACAGGAGAAUCUUGAGGGCUUCAGAAAUUCACCAGCAUUGCUAAGAAACCGUCUCCCCAGCCCCCAGCCUGGCAUCUCCCCACCUCUGAAGAAGGGAAGAGUUCAGCCCUCUAGAGUUACAGCCUAAAGAGCUUGAUUCCUCCAAGGCUGAUGAGCUCUGGUGACCAGUGCUGGCCAGACUAUAAUAAUUAAGAACUCAGAGAUAGCGGACAAUGGUGGCACACACCUUUAAUUCCAGCAGAGACAGAUGCAUCUCUAAGUUCAAGACCAGCCUGGUCUUCAAAGUGAGUUCCAGGACAGCCAGGGCUACACAGAGAAAUCCUGUCUCUGGGAGGAUGGGGGAACCCCUAAAGAUGACUUUGCUGAGCUGGAUUCAGCCCAUCUGGUAUUUUCUUGCUGUGUGAAUAAAACUUCUGGGUUUGACUUGU